CUUUUUAUUUUUUUUCUUUUUUUCGGAGCUGGGGACCGAACCCAGGGCCUUGUGCUUGCUAGGCAAAUGCUCUACCGCUGAGCUAAAUCCCCAAUCACAGCUCUUCUCUCUUUAUUUCUGGAAUAAUUUGCUGUUAAUCUAUAAAAUGGGUCUUUUCUGGCUUUUGUGAAUUAGCUUCUCAUUCAGCAUCCCUGUGACUAGUUUGUAACAGAUUUUUACAAUAAAUAGAUGUUCUGAUUGAGUGUCUAAUGCCUGAAUCUUGUUAGUCAAACCUCAAAUUGCCAUGAACAUUUCUACUGACCAAUUUAGUAUAUUUAGCCCAGCUAGUCAGUAAACAUAACCAGAAAUCAACUGUUCUCCCCUCCGAUUGAGAUCCUAUUUAAUAUUAGAGUAAGCCCAAAUCCAUUGUUUUCCCAGUUAUUCAUACUAGCCAAUGUUUGCCUUGAAACAGAUUGCAUUUGAUUCCAAGAAUUACUUACCACAUAGAAUUUCUGAAGCUGUUAUGGUUUAUUCCUGAGUAGGUUUUUAUCCAAACUAAAACUAAGAACUUUAUUCUCAUUCACACUAUUUACUUGAGUCAUUGACUGAAUGUUUAUGACUUUCCUCUUGAUGGAUUCCUGUAUUGAAAUCAUCAUAUGAUGAUAAUAGGAGGUAGGGCCUCAUAGGAUAAUCAAACCACAGAGGUAGAUCUUCAUGAUUGAAAUUAGCAUAUAUAGAGCAAAAGGAUGUUGUUGUAUAAAUAUAAAAAUAAAACGAUAAAGUUUGGUCUUUUACCCUGCUAGGUCCUACACCUCAGUGCCCCAGAUAUCUGCUAGAUAUCUUGGCGGAAACACAGCCCAGCCACACACUUUCUUUCAAACCCUCACAUAAAAGAACACACAACACAAUAAUCUUAGAUCCAAUUGGUAAGAUAUAAUUGCCCACUUAAACAUACAAAGCCCAGUACCAUCUAUGCCUUGCACCUUUUAUUUGCCAGGUCUCCAGCUUCUCCUUCUCCCACAAUGACUCCUCACUUCUCCCCUCUCUCCAUCUCCUGUCUCCACUAACUUUUCUCCCAACUCAUCCUCUCUCAGUUCCCCAUCGUGGCUUUAAACAGUCCCUUUCCCACUUUUUUCAUUACUCACUCUCCCAACUAUAUCAACUCUUCCAUGCUUUAGUUUCUCCUUCUCCCACAAUGACUCCUAGCUUCUCCCCUCUCUCCAUCUCCUGUCUCCUCUAACUUUUCUCAGUUCCCCAUCAUGUGCUUAACCAGUCCCUUUCCCACCUAUCUUCAUUUCUCCUCUCCCUACUCUCUCAACUGUUUAAUGCUUUCCCUCCCUGCUCAGGUUCUACUGGCUCAACUGUCACCAACUGUCUUCUCUAAUCCUAUUCUCUGAAUCUAAUCCCCCUCUCGCUCCUGACUCCUCCCUCUGCCCAAAUCUAGCGCUCUUGCCUUUAUUUUACAAAUUCAGAAGGAACUCCAAGGCAAACCUCAACAAAAGGAUACUGAGGAAUUUUUCACUUUUUUAAUCUUUGUUUUUUGGCAUUGUUCUCUGAACCUUGAAGAGGAUGUUUUGAUGUUACCAAAGAUAUGGCGGUUUUUGAUAUUAAUAGCAUCCUGAAAAAGUUAAGGUAGAAAUUGCUUUCAACAGAAAUUGACGCAUUGCUAUAUCCAAUAUCUGAAAACAUAGAAACAGCUUUGGAAUAAAUUCACAGGCACAGAAUUCAGAAAUUUUAUGAUGCAUGAUGGAGGAGUCAAGAUUGCUAGGAAAUGAUUUUUUAAAGGAAAUUCUAGGGAUAGCUCAGAAGUUCAGGAGGAAAGGGAAAGGGACACUUCUCUUAGAGGAGACAGAUCAUUAUAGAUAGAACACUGAUAGCUAGAUGGAUAAUAAAAGCUAUUGUAAUGAAUUCUAUGGUAGAAAUGUAGAAAAGGUGAUCUUGGUUAUAUGUUAACAAAGACUACUAUGUUUUUUUGUUCAUGCCUAAUGUUUUAUAAUGGUGUAAUUUUAUAAAGAUUAAGUUGAAUAUUUCCAAUUAUUUGAAAUAUCUAAGUAAAAUGAUAAAAGGGUGGCUUGCAACCAUCUGAUUGAGAACAGGAUGUUAUAAAAGUAAAAGAAUGGAACAAUGGUUAAUUCAGAAACUAUGUUUAACCUCUGCCAAGAUUUGUUAUGAAUAUGAAAAGCAUAAAAUUUAACCAAUCUAUCCUCAUCUAAAAUAUGGAAUUACUAAGCAAAGGGUAACUAAAAUGUAGUGAUUUAGAAAAUCUUCAGUUCAAUUAUAUUGGAAAAAAACCCAAGGAAACAGAAAGUACUACUAAAAUAUAACUACAGUAAGUUCAUGGCCAUGGGAUGGUUUGGUACUCAGAUGACAAGGAUUACAUACUCAGGUACCCCAGUGAAGUCCUAUAACUUCUAACUGAAAGAGAUAGACAAAAUAAGGUAUAAGAAGGGGGUAUUUAUAUUAUUUAUUCUACAGGUGAACUGUAGAGAAAUUCACCUGUCAGUCCGCUUCAUUUUUUUUUAAGAUAAGGGAAGAUGGACUCGAAUAUCAAUUUAUAAAUUUUCAGGGCUGCUAUUUGGUACAGGCACCAAAUUUCUUUUCUUAGGCUAGAUGAUGCCUUUAGAUUUAGGGCUUGGGUUUUGGGCACGGGAGAAGAUUCAGGACUGCUACCUUGAUGGCUCCGGUGGAUAGAACACAACCACGACGAUCUGGACAGCAGAAAAUUGAACUAAGCUCUCUGAAGACAGGAAAUGAACAGUGAAUAUAUUUUAUUCAAAGCCUGCAUGAACCCAUCAAAGGAUAGCAACAAAAAGAGAUCAUUUUACACUUUCUUACUAAGGACACGGUUUGGCGAGGACAACUUCUAAGAAAGCCUCUAUGUAACUCAUGAAAACAACACAUAACAGAAGCCUCGCCCUGCUCUAUUCUUAUUAUAAAAUAUCACAAACACUUGGACCAAGAGGAGAAGGAAAUCUGAAUUAGGCUAUGCAUGUUCAAUUAAAAGUUUAACUUUUACUGAAUAGAAUCAGAGUGAAUAGAAUUGAAACAAUGGAGAAGUGGUAUUUUGAAGAGAAAAAAUAUUUGUAUGUGUCUCCAAUUCUCGUCACCAUGGAACAAUGGAAAGAUCUGUUUGUAAUAAACGAAGAAAGAACCCGAGAAAAUGACAAAGCAAACUCCUUGCCAAAUAAUUCCUUUAAAAAAAAUCCUUGUUUCCGGAGUCAUUUGAGAGACACUUCAACCUCUUGCUUGUACGUCUAUAUAGCUCACUCUAAAAUCACGUCUUAUUUGCCGCAGUUGCUAUCCCAUUCAUUUGUAAUUGGUUUCAAAGCUCUGAGCAGAGCUUCCUUUUGUGCAGCUGUAGUUCCUCUUCUCCCCGGCUACUCUUCAUUCCUGGCAGUCCUAACAAUUGUUGCUCCUUCCUACUUCUGUAUGAAUUCUGUUAUAAGCUUGAUAAAUUCAUAAUAAAUCAUUUUUCUGAGUA